GACGAACGCUGGCGGCGUGCUUACCACAUGCAAGUCUAACGGAAAGGCCCUGCUUUUGUGGGGUGCUCGAGUGGCGAACGGGUGAGUAACACGUUAGUAACCUGCCCUUGACUUUGGGAUAACUUCAGGAAACUGGGGCUAAUACCGGAUAGGAGCUCCUGCUGCAUGGUUGGGGUUGGAAAGUUUCGGCGGUUGGGGAUGGACUCGCGGCUUAUCAGCUUGUUGGUGGGGUAGUGGCUUACCAAGGCUUUGACGGGUAGCCGGCCUGAGAGGGUGACCGGACACAUUGGGACUGAGAUACGGCCCAGACUCCUACGGGAGGCAGCAGUGGGGAAUAUUGAACAAUGGGCGGAAGCCUGAUGCAGCAACGCCGCGUGCGGGAUGACGGCCUUCGGGUUGUAAACCGCUUUCGCCUGUGACGAAGCGUGAGUGACGGUAAUGGGUAAAGAAGCACCGGCUAACUACGUG
rnacentral:rRNA from 1 species